CAUUUAAUGGUACGCAUUUUGGACUCCCGUAAAUAUAUCAUACAUGCUACUGAAGAUAGACCAAGUGUUCCAUUGUGUCGAGUUUGUGUAGAGCAAGAAGUUUCGGCAGUGUGAUAUAUUUUGAAGAUGAUCGUAAGUGCGAUCUUGUUUGAAUUCUUCAAUAUUCCUAGUUAGGAGUACCUUACAUUGCUACACUGCCAGGAGGAUUCUACAUUCCCAAAGGUCAGAUAUGUGGAAACGGUGGAGGCUGGUACUACAAAAGUUGGCGAAAAAGGAAAAAGACCACCUUAGUAGUGAGCAAUGACGAACAAAAUGGGGCCUAGUGCAUUGAGACAACGCUCAUCGAAGUAUGUGUACCGGUUUCAAAUUCGUCCCGGGGCGCGUCUUUUUGAAAGUACAGUUUCACCUUUACACGCUCCGGCACUUGGCAUAUCUGGGCUAUGAUCCACACUUAGGAUUGUUAGGAUUCGAAGCGCCAGUUGGUUAGGUGCAGGAUAGCCUUUCAUCUCCUUUGUCCUACAGCUCAGCUGCAUGUUUGGCUUGGCGAAGAUGAGACGUGAAACUAAGGAUGAAUGGCCUGUAUUAUGUUUCUUGGUAUCACUGCCACGCAUAUUUGCCAUAGCAAUCAAGACAUGCCCAGAAAAAGAUUACAGCAAGCCAUUGCAAAGACCGACCGGAAUUGGUGGACAGAAAACGGGUCGUCCUCCGCCAUGGCGAUGCCACCCCACAUACAUUUUUAGCUGUCCGGCAAAAAUUCGGAAAACUCAGGCCUAUUUUAGCCAUGGGAACGUAGCGAUCGGUUACCAGCCCGGGCGAAUUUGAAGCCGCUGUCUGGUACGGGUUCCCUAUGUAUACGAAAAACGGGAACGCUUUCUGUGUGAACGGUGUAAAUAAAUUAUAUGAAAAGUGUGUAGCUUUAUAGGAAAUAUAGUUGUUCCGCAGCUAUUUUGCCGAUAGCCUUAGGCUAUUGGUGGCCUAUAGGCUAUAGGGGGUGAAGCAUCUGUGUAGCGGUGUAAUAUUCUCGCUAAAGAUUUGCUUGCAACUUUCCUUCAAUAGACGAUGGCGAUGUAUAGUAAAAAUACUUAGAGACGCAUUUCUGUUGGUCGAUGCUCCGCUGAACCAUGACCACCUUUAUCAGUCGUUGAUUCGUGCUCCUUGAUUCGAGUUCUAUAUACGCGGAUCUUUGUUUGUUUUGAAUUUAUGUUGAAGGAAGUAUAUUAGCUUUGUAAACUUUGAAGCAUCUCAUUGCCACUGUAUUGAAUAUAGCUAGCGGUAACUAUAUCCAAUGGCAUAUUUAAAUGUGUGACAAAAGACUAGCUAGCGUUCUUCUUACCAAUUUCUAAUAAUCUAUACGUACGGAAAUUUUAUUUGUCACAAAGAUUUUCGUUUAGAUUCUACUAAAACAGAAAACGUAUCAGCUUGUAUUGCGUCCGGAAAUUCAGUGUAGCUUAUUCUCACUCCUAAUGUUGAGUUUAUAUGGCUAGAAGGACGACGUUAUCACAAGUCUUGCCCGAACAAAUCACCGUACUUGUUAACAGGAUAAAGCUGCAUAACGUUUCAACAAGGUGCUACCGACGAAGCGACUUGUCAAUUUUCGUUAGAUACAUUCCCCAGCAGAAAAGUUCUGCAAAUCGAACCGAUAGGAGAAAGUCUCAUAAGGGUCUACUGUAGCACGGAGGAAAGCCGACAGGCAAUGCGACGAAAGCACGUAAUCCUGGAUUGUCCGUAAAUCUGAAAGUGUUAUCUGAAAGAAUAGCCUUUCCCGAAACUAUAACCGAUGUCACAGAUGCUUCAGUUAUAGGACUCCAUUCUUAACGUGAGACGCAUCAACUAACCUCAUUGUACCGCUGCAAAGACGAUUCCUAAAUUUAUCUGAAAAAAAAGACCUAUCACUUUUCAACCUAAAAAAUAGCAUGGAUUUCCAGCAACUGUCGCCACGUUUGGGUAUAUCUGAAUAGGUAAGCGGUUAUCAGCUAUUGUAAAUCAUGUAAUUAGGUUAGUACGUCAAAGAAAACGGGUUGAAUAAUAAAGUUUGAUUGUGUAUGGGUCUUGUUUUAUCUAACAGUUGAUACCCAAGGCCAAUUAGCACAGACAUGCAACUUUCUGAAGGAUUUUCACAAUAAGCACUUGAAAUUUCUUCGAAUAACAGAAGCAUUUAGAUCGAUGUCCGGCUACUAGUUACCCUCCUAACUACAAAAUGUGUUUCACCAGUCUUCUCUGGAAGCAAAUCGACAUCAGGACAAGUGUUUUUGCUGUUCACGGUUGCAGCUAAUUGAAUUGCUUAGUUACUUUUUUUUUUUUUUAGUUUUCGAAGAAGUUUUUUGUCAAAAAUUUUUAAAACAUAUUGAAUUGAACUUUUCGAAUAGGGGUCGUCCAUUUGAAAUGCUAUUUAU